UGGCCAAAGUAGCAUGGAGUUCCUGGGGAGGAAAAUCAACGCUUUCAAUGGGUGCUGAGUGCUACAAACAGAGCCACCUCUACUUAGAUGCCAUAAGUACAGAAAAACUUGGAGUCUUCCGGAUCUGAGUGGGAAUUUCAAAGCAGAGGCAGCUAGCCAAACCAUGAGUGGAGUGCUGGGGAAAUGGAUAGCUGGCAAAUCGACAAGAAGCUGGUGGAGCUUGGGGCCUUCCAUAGAGUGAAGUCAAGGUCACCAGGGAAGCCACUCACGGCCACCAGAUGGACGAGCACUGACAAGUUACCAGCAGAAAUCCAUUACUUUGAUUUAAGCCUGUUCUUUUAUCGAUGGGCACGUGCUCCUGGGAGGGAUAGCCAACGCAUUCCAUACACCAUUGUUGGGUGCCUCAGCCUUUCUCAGGUCUUCCAAAACCAUUUGAAAGUGGAAUGGGGACCUUCCCACAAAAGUCAUUCUAAGAGAGUUUAUGAAUGAUAAAUGUUACACCACACCUAUUUUCAAAAUAACAGAUCUGAGCUGUUCUGUAGCCUUUGGGGUAUAAAUAUUAUCCUGUCUCCUUAUUUCCCCAAAUGGAAUUAAAACUAGGUUGAACCCUGUGGAAAUAAAAAUGAUAAACUUAAAAUUA